rnacentral:rRNA from 1 species
GACGAACGCUGGCGGCGUGCUUAACACAUGCAAGUCGAGCGGUAAGGCCCUUUCGGGGGUACGACGAGCGGCGAACGGGUGAGUAACACGUGGGUGACCUGCCUUUAGUCUCUGGGAGUAAGCCUGGGAAACCGGGUCUAAUACCGGAUAUGACUCCGCGGCGCAUGUUGUGGGGUGGAAAGCCUUGUGCGGCUGGAGAUGGGCCCGCGGCCUAUCAGCUUGUUGGUGGGGUGAUGGCCUACCAAGGCGACGACGGGUAGCCGGCCUGAGAGGGCGACCGGCCACACUGGGACUGAGACACGGCCCAGACUCCUACGGGAGGCAGCAGUGGGGAAUCUUGCGCAAUGGGCGAAAGCCUGACGCAGCGACGCC